AAUGUAUUUCCUGUGAUCUAAUUCCAGUUGUUGCUGUAAAAAUGUUGUACAUGUCCGUUCUCCCUGACUUAUUGUGAAGAACCCACCGUUCCCAUUUGGACCCCAGAGGGGAAGGGACAAUCCACAGGGUGAUCAGUGGAUGGGGAUCCCCACAAAGGGGCCGGAAGAGCCAUUAGGUCCCAAGGGAGAAGGGGAUAGCACUGAGGUCCCACAGCUCUUCUCCUCAGGCCCUGCCACCGUCCCCAGGGAAUCCAAGUAUUCUGUGGGACACAGAGGCACUUUCUCCCAGAGAUCCAAGCAGAAAAAAGAGCAGAAGAGGUGGCCAGCACCCCUUUCUUACUGAUUAGGGGGGUUAACCCGUCCCUGGCUGCGAAGCCUUGAAACCCAUUUCCCUCAGCCACAUCUCGGAGUUCCUGGCUGAUCCCGGGGGCAGCAGCACACACAGGAAUGCCCCGUGGGCUUGGGUGGAAGGAGAGGGAAAGAGGAUCCAGUUCUAUCUCCCAGCAAGGGCAGGAUCUGUAAAACACAGAAAUAGCCCCAACUGGAUUUCUGCUUUAAUUAUUUGAAAUUUAGAUAAGCUCCCUGUUGUGUUGCAUAAACAACUGGUGAUAUGUCAGGUGCACUUCCUUGGAUACGUACAGUGAGCCCAGUUCCCUCUGCAGCCCUCUCACCUUCCCUUGGAUUAGAGGGAAAGGAGUUACAGGAUAAAAAACUGUAACCAACCACGGGCUGUUCAAGCACUGUGUAAGUGUAAACAUUUAUUUUAAGACCAAUUUAGGCUCUUUUUGUAUGUCUUUCAGUUACAUCUGUUUCCGUGGGUGAAAAAUCCUGGGAAAAGAUGUGACCAUCAUUUAACAGCCUGAACUACUAAAGCUUGAAUGUUGAAUGCUCCCUGGGUGUUCACAGACAGAGCCUGACACCAAAACAAUAAAGGAGUGUGGAGUUAAGGUUUUAGAGUUUGGGCCACACUCAUUCAAGGAAUUUGGGAGCUGAGCUUAAUGGACUUCCCAAGAGUUAACAAGAUUCCUUAAAUGCCAUGUGCUGACUUCCUAACCCAGCUAAGAGAAAUGCUGAAAAAAGAGCUGUUGCUGAGCUCCAGUUCUCUGAGCCAGAAUCCAAGGAGCCUCUAUUAUAAUCUUCCAGCUGAUUGAUCCGAUGGCUCUGGCGGCACUGCUGAUGUCCGGGGCACUCUGGAACAAGGCUCUGGUUUGACCCUUCCUGCUGGAAUGGUUCUGCUCUCUGUGGGCUGACAGGAAUUGCGUGUGUUUGCAGCCUUUGGGUGCAGACACUCCUUUGGGAAGGAAGGAUCCGUGUUCCUGUCUCUGCUGCAGUGAACAGCUCCCAGUGACUCCGUGAUGGAGCUCCCUGCAGUGCAGAGCAGUGGAUUUAACAGCCAGAGCUGUGCAGGCCCAUGUUCCCAGGACACACUGCAAUGCAGGAAUGUGGGUGAGUAAACAACUAUUUCAGGGGGAUUGUUCAAGGAUUGAGAUGUGCUGGAGGCAGGCAACUUCCAUGUCCAUGGAGUCACCAUCCAUCAGAAGGUGGGGCACAAGAACCUCCACUGACAGCUCAGGGAAUGACACAACUGCAAUGAGCAGCCAGUACUCAACAGAGAUGGGGCAGGUUCCUGUGUGUGUAGCACCAACAACCUACUCCUGGAAUGGGUUGGUGGAAAGGGACCUUAAAGAUCAUCUCGUUCCACCCCCUGCCACGUGCAGACACACCUUCCACUAGCCCAGGUUGCUCCAAGCCCCAUCCAACCUGGCCUAGGACCCUUCUAGGGAUGGGACACUCACUUGGAAGCAACAUGCCAGGCCCCCAUUCUCAACUGCAGAACCUCCUGCCUGGGUUUUUAGCCACUGGAAAGAUCAAAACUCUCCCAUGUUGCUUCUGAAAUUGGAAUGUUAAACAGCAAUUCUACAAAAGGGUCAUUAAGAAGCAAUUACCUACCUCUUCU